rnacentral:rRNA from 1 species
UUGAUAGGCCGGGUGUGUAAGCGCAGCGAUGCGUUGAGCUUACCGGUACUAAUGACCCGUGAGGCUUAACCUU